ACGCCUGGGCCCAACAGGCUAUGCGCCCUAAACCAACGACAACAGCAACAUUAAUCGUAUGUGGGGUGCCGGUUGCGUAGUGGUUAAUGCAUCUGCGUUAGCAAAUGCGCGUCUGGGAAACCAGAGGACUUCAACAGUAUGUCAAAUCAUCAGAAACAUGACAGUUGCUGCAUGGGCCACCCUGCUGUUCCUUCGGUCACACAGACUUUGGAUGAAAUGGAGUGGGAGAGAGGCAUCUGGCCAGCAGCACUGGAAGGUGACAUGGCCCGGCUGGAGCUACUCCUGGGUCGUGGCUCUGCAGCUGACCGAGCUGACCAGGCUGGCUACACUGCGCUACACUAUGCAGCACGUGCUGGCCAGCU